CUGUUGCCUUCAUUUCCUGCCAUCUGGGAAUUAGAUGUCAUUUGCUGCUGGAUUUCCCUCAGUCCUCUCAGCAAUGCUCUUGUGGUGGUGUUAACACUGGCUGCCUCCCUGUCAGACAAAGGAAAUGUGAAGUUUUCCAAGAGUGCCAAGUGUGUGGCCUGUGCCUCCACCCAGAGCCUAUACCUACCCACGUGCCUCCAGCCCCCACCACAUGCUGAGAAUGGCUGGAUUUUUCUCUUUCUUCCUUCUCAUAGUCUCUAUCCAGCAGUCCUCAGGCGCAGCCCCCUCGGCCAGCAGAGCUGUCAGAUGAGGAAGUGGCUGAGCUGUUUCAGAGGCUGGCCGAGACACAGCAGGAGAAAUGGAUGCUGGAGGAGAAGGUGCUGUCGGGCUGCAUGCUAGUCUUCCCAUGAAAUGCCCUGGGAUGGGGUUGCAGGGAAAGGGGGCGGGGGAAGGGUGUCUAAGAGUGGUCUGAGUCCCUCCUCACAGGAGAAAAUGGGAAGUCGAGGGGCCUGAGAUGGGGUGGACCAUCUUGCAGGUGAAACACCUGGAGGUGAGCAGCGCCUCGAUGGCGGAAGACCUCUGUCGGAAAAGUGCCAU
rnacentral:lncRNA from 1 species